ACUGCUCAGUAACACGUGGCUAACCUACCCUCAGGACGGGGACAAACCCGGGAAACUGGGGCUAAUAUCCGAUAGGCGAGGAAUCCUGGAAUGGUUCUUCACCCAAAGGACAUUGGAAACAUGCUUUCUCUGUCGCCUGGGGAUGGGGCCGCGACCGAUCAGGUUGUUGGUGAGGUAAUGGCUCACCAAGCCUUUAACCGGUACGGGCCAUGAGAGUGGUAGCCCGGAGAUGGGUACUGAGACAAGGACCCAGGCCCUACGGGGCGCAGCAGUCGCGAAAACUCCGCAAUGCACGAAAGUGUGACGGGGCUACCCCGAGUGCCGUCCGCUGAGGAUGGCUUUUCCUUGGUGUAACUAGCCGGGGGAAUAAGGAGAGGGCAAGACUGGUGUCAGCCGCCGCGGUAAUACCAGCUCUCCGAGUGGUAGGGAUGAUUAUUGGGCUUAAAGCGUCCGUAGCCGGCUUAGCAAGUUUCCUGUUAAAUUCAGCGACCUAAUCGUUGAGCCGCGGGAAAUACUACUAGGCUAGGAGGCGGGAGAGGUCGACGGUACUUCUGGGGUAGGGGUGAAAUCCUAUAAUCCCGGGAGGACCACCAGUGGCGAAGGCUGUCGACUAGAACGCGCUCGACGGUGAGGGACGAAAGCUGGGGGAGCGAACCGGAUUAGAUACCCGGGUAGUCCCAGCUGUAAACGAUGCGGGCUAGGUGUUGGGGUGGCUACGUGCCACUUCAGUGCCGCAGGGAAGCCAUUAAGCCCGCCGCCUGGGGAGUACGGCCGCAAGGCUGAAACUUAAAGGAAUUGGCGGGGGAGCACCACAAGGCGUGAAGCUUGCGGUUCAAUUGGAUUCAACGCCGGG
rnacentral:rRNA from 1 species